rnacentral:rRNA from 1 species
AAGGAUCAUUACAGUAGUCACCCAGGUUGCCGCAAGGCCUCCUGGGUAACCUACCACCCUUUGUUUAUUACACUUUGUUGCUUUGGCAAGCCUGCCCUCGGGCUGCUGGCUCCGGCCGGCGAGCGCUUGCCAGAGGACCUAAACUCUGUUUGUCUAUACUGUCUGAGUACUAUAUAAUAGUUAAAACUUUCAACAACGGAUCUCUUGGUUCUGGCAUCGAUGAAGAACGCAGCGAAAUGCGAUAAGUAAUGUGAAUUGCAGAAUUCAGUGAAUCAUCGAAUCUUUGAACGCACAUUGCGCCCCCUGGUAUUCCGGGGGGCAUGCCUGUCCGAGCGUCAUUACAACCCUCAAGCUCAGCUUGGUAUUGGGCCCCGCCGACCCGGCGGGCCCUAAAGUCAGUGGCGGUGCCGUCCGGCUCCGAGCGUAGUAAUUCUUCUCGCUCUGGAGGUCCGGUCGUGUGCUCGCCAGCAACCCCCAAUUUUUUUCAGGUUGACCUCGGAUCAGGUAGGGAUACCCGCUGAACUUAA